rnacentral:miRNA from 1 species
ACCCCGCUUAAUCGGCCCACGUUUAAUCGGACCGCUUUUCGCUGGUCCCGAUGUGGUCCGAUUAAGCGGG